rnacentral:rRNA from 1 species
GAUGAACGCUAGCGGCGGGCUUAAUACAUGCAAGUCGAGGGGUGGUAGCAAUACUACACCGGCGCACGGGUGCGUAACGCGUAUGCAAUCUACCUUUAUCUGGGGGAUAGCCCGGGGAAACCCGGAUUAAUACCGCAUAACAAAUUUCUUGGCAUCAAGAGAUUUUAAAAGAUUUAUCGGAUAGAGAUGAGCAUGCGUAAGAUUAGAUAGUUGGCGAGGUAACGGCUCACCAAGUCUACGAUCUUUAGGGGCUCUGAGAGGAGAAUCCCCCACACUGGCACUGAGAUACGGGCCAGACUCCUACGGGAGGCAGCAGUAGGGAAUAUUGGGCAAUGGGCGCAAGCCUGACCCAGCCACGCCGCGUGCAGGAAGAAGGCCCUCUGGGUUGUAAACUGCUUUUGACCGGGAAGAAAAGAACCUUUGCGAAGGGAGUUGACGGUACCGGCAGAAUAAGCCACGGCUAACUACGUGCCAGCCGCCGCGGUAAGAC